rnacentral:rRNA from 1 species
GACGAACGCUGGCGGCGUGCUUAACACAUGCAAGUCGAACGGAAAGGCCCUGCUUUUGUGGGGUGCUCGAGUGGCGAACGGGUGAGUAACACGUGAGUAACCUGCCCUUGACUUUGGGAUAACUUCAGGAAACUGGGGCUAAUACCGGAUAGGAGCUCCUGCUGCAUGGUGGGGGUUGGAAAGUUUCGGCGGUUGGGGAUGGACUCGCGGCUUAUCAGCUUGUUGGUGGGGUAGUGGCUUACCAAGGCUUUGACGGGUAGCCGGCCUGAGAGGGUGACCGGACAAAUUGGGAAUGAGAUACGGACCAGACUCCUACGGGAGGCAGCAGUGGGGAAUAUUGCACAAUGGGCGGAAGCCUGAUGCAGAAAAGCCGCGUGCGGGAUGAAGGCCUUCGGGUUGUAAACCGAUUUCGCCUGUGACGAAGCGUGAGUGACGGUAAUGGGUAAAGAAGCACCGGCUAACUACGUG